GAAUGGAGAGGGGGAAACAGAAGUAGGUAUAAAGAGAGACAGAGAGAAAGGUGAAGGUGAGGGCCAAGCCAAAACAGGUAGACAACACUUUGGCGCCAUGCACAACACGGUGCGCUCUUCAGCGGGGCAACCUUCAAGAGAUCAGUCAAGUCCAAACUGAUUCGUUUUUCUGAUGACUUGCAAUUACAAUCUAUACCUACACUUCUCGUUUGAGGUUGGAGAGCUUAAAAAUAUCCAUUUUCUUAGCUGUGCCGGCUAGAAAAAAAAAAUAAUAAUAAUAAUAAAAGGGAAAAAGAAAAAUCCCAGAGAAUCAUGCAUGUUCAAUGCUUUUAACCACAAGUAAUGGCAACAGCGGCUGAUUGCGAGCAAGGGUCCAAGGGAGAGCUAGCGAUAUUAUGGAAAAAGGGUUUUACAUCCUAUGACGAACAGGGGCGUCUGAUCACCUGGAAUUCACAUCUUGCCUGCGGCAUGUUUAAGUCACUUCUCCCUCUCUGAACAAGCUCGCGCACAUCCGUGGUUUUUAUGGCGGAAUAAAAGGUAUCGGCGCGGGAAUGUUGGGCACGACAUAGCCUCCUAUACCACCGGGUUCAUUUUCAACGAUUUUUCCAAAUACAAAUUUACUCUCGUAUUCUUCCAAAAAAUGUUUUGCCAAUUGUAAAUCGUGCAUCUUCCCCGGAGAAAAAAUGUCUAAAUCCGGCCAACAUAUUUAUUCAUUCAGAAUACUUUUCAUAAGAUUGCAGAACAUAUCAAUUCCUGACUGAUGGCAUUGCAGGCCCAACAAUCAUAGACCUGGUAGUCGGUGCAGAUCAUCAACAGUACCGCCAUGCGAAACACUACACCAGUUUUUCAAUUUCUUAUACAAAUCAGAAAUAUCUGGCCAUAUUUCUCGUCUUACAGUUAAAUCAUGGAAAUUACAUCACUAACAAACUAAUCGUUU